UCCCUGGUGGCUCAGAUGGUAAAGCAUCUGCCUAUAAUGCAGGAGAUCCAGGUUCAAUCCCUGGGUCGGGAA
rnacentral:tRNA from 1 species